AUGACUACUAGCAUCAAUAUGUUAGCAGUUUUUUUCAUUGUUUUGGUCAUGAUCUCAGGAGGAACAAGUUUUGAAGCCCAUGAUAAAUAUUGCACUAUCAAAGACUUCUGUAACAGUCGAAUCGAGAUGAUAUCCCGACCAUCAGGCCUGUCGAAUCAAGAUGAUAUCCCGACCAUCUGGCCUGGUAUGUGCUCAACUCUUAUGACUUAUAUGCCUAGUCUUCCGAGUAGGGACCUCCUUAGCGUGGUCCGAUCUUAA